rnacentral:rRNA from 1 species
GCCUACGGGGGGCAGCAGUGGGGGAUAUUGCACAAUGGGGGGAACCCUGAUGCAGCGACGCCGCGUGGGUGAAGAAGCGCCUCGGCGCGUAAAGCCCUGUCAGCAGGGAAGAAAAUGACGGUACCUGAAGAAGAAGCCCCGGCUAACUACGUGCCAGCAGCCGCGGUAAUACGUAGGGGGCAAGCGUUAUCCGGAUUUACUGGGUGUAAAGGGGGCGCAGACGGCGAUGCAAGCCAGGAGUGAAAGCCCGGGGCCCAACCCCGGGACUGCUCUUGGAACUGCGUGGUUGGAGGGCAGGAGGGGCG